ACGGAUCACUGGAUAUUCUCUAUUAAGCAUAUGUUAAGAUGUUAACUGAAGUGGAUAGAGAAUAACAUGUACAUACAUGACUAGUGUACACGAGCACAUGACAGGAUAACCAUGUACAUGUACUUAAGGAUAGAAAGAAAAAGAACUUAAUUUACAUCCCACGUUGAAAAUGAAAUUGCCGUUGAGUUUUGGGUUUUUAUCACGCUCAAAGAUGUUGUAGCCCCGCUCAUUCAGAAUGCAGUAUAAAAACCACUGAGCAUAAUAAUAGCUACGUGAAAAUGGGCUUGAUGUUUGUUCGUGCUUUUCAACCCUGAAGAACCUUCGUGAUGUAUUCAUGUGUAAUUUGAAGUCAUCGGCUUUACUGCUCCCUCUCUCUAUAAACUAUAAAUCGGCUUGUGUAAAGAAUGGCUAGACAUCACUCCCGCUUCAGCGGCCGUCACCGACGCCGAUGCCACGGUCGAAACCUCGGUCGCUCCGGUACAAGAUCUCCAUUGAAGGGCGGCAUGAUCCUCGUCAUAUUUCUCUGCGUGUUCGGAUCCAUAUUGUUACUGGUCGGGGUGACCAUUUUCAGUCUUAACUACGACAUCGUGGAGAGCAUCGAUGUUGAAAUAGCGGGAACUAUUGCUUUGGUUCUCGGUGUCGUUUUGAUGUCGCUUUGCCUGAUACUGUACUUCAUUGGUCGCCGAAGACGACACCAGCAUCAUCAGAGCAAUGACGUCAUUGAGAGUGAAGUGAUAGAUGAAGAGAUACCACUGGCGUAGAGGCACUGUGCUGGAUAAUAGGGAUGAGCGAGGUACAUUGGCCUAUAAUACAGCCUUGCAGCCAUACGAUGGUCAACUCGUCCACCAGAGAGAUUGUCAACUCGUCCAACGCUCUACGAUAAUACACGAAUUACCAUUAUUUUGCGCAUCCCUUCCACGUCCUACAAUAGACUAUGUACACAAAAUUCGCUGUGGAACAUCCCUUUCCUCAGAGUGGAACAGUCCACCCCAUUAUUUUAAUGACCAACCCAGAUUCCUGGUCAGUAUUCCCAAACGAUAUUUUUAUUUAAUAAUAGGCAUGUUGUGCUCUCAACAAGCUGAUUAUUUUUGUGAUUCAGAAGAAAAACAAAAAACACUCGAGGCGUAAUUUUCAUAAAGAAGAAUCACAUUCAAGAUAAAAUCCUCAAUUCUUUUGAAAAAGUAAAGAAACCACAACAAAAGGAACCACAUUCUGAGCCAUUGCGGUUGAGGAUCGAAUCUGAAAAGUUGUACCCCCCCCCUCAAAGAAAGGAAGAAACAAAGAUAUUAGUCAUCGAUUCCAUCACAAUUAUUUGAAAUAUUUAUGACUUUAAUUACACCUUCAUAACAAUUUUUCAUACAAUAGCAAUGUUACAUUAAUCGUGUUGAUGAAGCAUGGCAUUGUGAUAAAAACGGAAAUGUGCUGUACAUACUUACACUUAUUAAAGAAACUUGUGAUUCGAAUGACCACUUAAAUUUACUCUAAAUAACAAGAAAUGUUUUCAAAAGAAGAUAUUAAGGGACAUGUGUUUUAAAAAAUUAGAAGAGUUACGAGAAAUAUUAUUGAGCACCCAAUGGAGGAACAAGAACACCUAUAUUUUUGUUUGUUUGUUUGUUUGUUUGUUUGUUUGUUUGUUUGUUUGUUUGUUUGUUUGUUUGUUUGUUA